rnacentral:rRNA from 1 species
GAUAAACGCUGGCGGCGUGCCUAAUGCAUGCAAGUCGAACGGAGCGAUCUUCGGAUCGCUUAGUGGCAGACGGGUGAGUAACACGUAGGUGACCUACCUCUAAGUGGGGAAUAACGACAAGAAAUUGUCGCUAAUACCGCAUGUGGUCUGUCGUUCAUUUGGCAGAUUAAAGGACGCAAGUUCGCUUGGAGAGGGGCCUGCGGCUGAUUAGCUAGUUGGUGGGGUAAUGGCCUACCAAGGCGAUGAUCAGUAGCUGGUCUGAGAGGAUGAUCAGCCACACUGGGACUGAGACACGGCCCAGACUCCUACGGGAGGCAGCAGCAAGGAAUCUUCCGCAAUGGGCGAAAGCCUGACGGAGCAACGCCGCGUGGGCGACGAAGCCCUUCGGGGUGUAAAGCCCUUUUCUGAGGGACGAAAACAGACGGUACCGUAAGAAUAAGCACCGGCUAACUACGUGCCAGCCGCCGCCGUAA